rnacentral:tRNA from 1 species
GUUGCUGAUUCGGUGGUUCCAUUCGAAACUGCUUUGUAAGCAGGAGGUAGCGAGUUCGAGUCUCGCAAGCUCCACCA